rnacentral:lncRNA from 1 species
UUGGUGUUGGAAAUGUGCCCUAAAACCAAUCAUAUGAUGAUACUUUACGGACAUUUCACAUGUUAAACUAAUCUAGUUUAAUAUCAAGGGCAAAGAUUAUUGUUUGAGCCAUCUCAUAUAAAUGUUAUAUGCUUAAACGAUAAGUCCAAAGAAUAUGUGAUUGGGAGAAUGCAAUCUAAAGAAGUUAGAUUCAUGAGACUAUUCUUUCGUAGACACAUCCUAAACGUUCCUGAUCAUAGGAUUGCCAAUUGGGCAUU